rnacentral:rRNA from 1 species
CUAGUAACGGCGAGUGAAGCGGCAACAGCUCAAAUUUGAAAUCUGGCGUCUUUGGCGUCCGAGUUGUAAUUUGCAGAGGGCGCUUUGGCAUUGGCAGCGGUCCAAGUUCCUUGGAACAGGACGUCACAGAGGGUGAGAAUCCCGUACGUGGUCGCUAGCCUUUACCGUGUAAAGCCCCUUCGACGAGUCGAGUUGUUUGGGAAUGCAGCUCUAAAUGGGAGGUAAAUUUCUUCUAAAGCUAAAUACUGGCCAGAGACCGAUAGCGCACAAGUAGAGUGAUCGAAAGAUGAAAAGCACUUUGGAAAGAGAGUUAAAAAGCACGUGAAAUUGUUGAAAGGGAAGCGCUUGCAGCCAGACUUGCCUGUAGUUGCUCAUCCGGGUUUUUACCCGGUGCACUCUUCUACGGGCAGGCCAGCAUCAGUUUGGGCGGUUGGAUAAAGGUCUCUGUCAUGUACCUCUCUUCGGGGAGAACUUAUAGGGGAGACGACAUGCAACCAGCCUGGACUGAGGUCCGCGCAUCUGCUAGGAUGCUGGCGUAAUGGCUGUAAGCGGCCCGUCUUGAAACACGGACCAAGGAGUCUAACAUCUAUGCGAGUGUUUGGGUGUCAAGCCCGAGCGCGUAAUGAAAGUGAACGGAGGUGGGAGCCUUUCGGGGUGCACCAUCGACCGAUCCUGAUGUCUUCGGAUGGAUUUGAGUAAGAGCAUAGCUGUUGGGACCCGAAAGAUGGUGAACUAUGCUUGAAUAGGGUGAAGCCAGAGGAAACUCUGGUGGAGGCUCGCAGCGGUUCUGACGUGCAAAUCGAUCGUCAAAUUUGGGCAUA